rnacentral:rRNA from 1 species
GUGCCAGCAGCCGCGGUAAUACGGAGGGUGCAAGCGUUGUUCGGAAUUACUGGGCGUAAAGAGCGUGUAGGCGGUUAAGCAAGUCAGAUGUGAAAGCCUUCCGCUUAACGGGAGAAUGGCAUUUGAAACUACUUAGCUGGAGUUCGGGAGAGGAGAGUGGAAUUCCCGGUGUAGAGGUGAAAUUCGUAGAUAUCGGGAGGAACACCGGUGGCGAAGGCGGCUCUCUGGUCCGAUACUGACGCUGAGACGCGAAAGCGUGGGGAGCAAACAGGAUUAGAUACCCGCGUAGUCC